rnacentral:lncRNA from 1 species
CCUCUACCAUUCCUCUUAGUCUUUAAAGUAGGAGUUUCUUAUGUCAGGCGUCCCAACUUUCUCACAAGGCCUCUACAACAAACAACACAUUUCAUCUUUUGGGUUHAUUUUUUCUUCCUUGUCCUUUUUUACUUUGCUUGCUGUGAUUGGCUAAACGCCUUUUUUUAUUGCUUGCUGCAUUGCUAAAACUAAAAUCCCUCUUUUUUGCUCAAACCUUUGCCAAUCUGUUCUAUUUUCAUGUCUAAUUUCCACUCUAAACUUAUAGCCCAGCAGUCAGACGUUUUGACUGAGUKGCUUCUGCUUGUAAACCUUG